rnacentral:lncRNA from 10 species
CGCUUCGGGACUGCAAUCCCAGCAUGCCCCGGUCUCAGGGGCGGGGCGCAGUUCUUGCGGGAGGAGCGGGGCGGUGCGCUCCUGGCCACGCAGGCUGGAAACUGUAGCUCUUAACGGUUCCCCGCCCGUUGGUGGCAAGGCGGCUGGACUAGAAUCCUAGCAGGCGAUAUGCGAGAAGGCGGGCAGCCCAAGAGGGUUGGGCAGGGCAGUGUGGAUCUCGCCGCUUCCACAGCGAUGCUGGCUACUGAUUUCGGACACCUCCUUGCCAUGGGAUGCUUCAUUUCUGAUUCCUGAAUGCGGAUUACUAUUUUAAAAAAGCCUAAAAACUCUGGUCAUGGAUAUUAGACACUGUUAUUGUACUUUGUGAAGAAUUUACUCCUUCAGGAUCAAUUACACACGGGCUCAUCAGCACCUUUGUCAAUAAAGGAACAAGAACCAUGUGGCAUCUAUGGAUGUGGUGAGGUGAGAAAACUGACACUUGGAGAGGUAGAGUAGCUUUAUUUACUUCACACAAGCUUUUGAUGAAUUUCAAGUCUCAACCUAGAAGUCUUCCUCUAAGGUUCGUGCUUUCACGCACCUGUAAUUCAAAUACUGAUGAAAACAAAACUAUUGCCCUCCUACCAAAUGGUAACAAUGUGUGGAAAUUAAUGUUAUGACUGGAUAAGACAAUUGUGAAGAAACUGCACUUCGAGGUUGUCUGUCUCCGUAUUCCGAUGGAAAAGGCUGGACUUUAGAAGCAUUGCUCGCUCCUUCAGUUUCUAACAAGAGUUUUACAGUUUCUGAUUAAAUACCAAUGGGAUAUCACCUCCCAUCUCUUAGGAUGGCUGUUAUAAAAAGGACAAGAGAUAACAAGUGUUGGUGAUGGUGUGGAGAGAAGGGAACCUUUGUACACUGCUGGUUAAAAUGAAAUGAAAUCAGCAUCUGAUAGAGAUAUCUUCACUCCCCUCUUCUCCGUGCCCCACCACAGCAUUGCUCCCAACAGCCAAGCCAUGGGAUGAAGUUACUGUGCAUUGAUGGAUGAGUGGAGAAAAGAAAAUGUGGGGGAGGUGUUUGUGCAUGUAUGUGUGUGUGUGUAUAAUAUAUAAUAAUAUAAUAUUUUUCAGCUUUUAAGAAGUUGAAGAUACUGCCAUUUGUGAUAACAUAAAUGAAUCUGGAGGAUAUUAAGCUAAGUAAAAUAACUUAGGGAGAGAGAAAAAUACUGCAUAAUUUCUGUUACAUAUGAAAUCUUUAAAAAGGUUUAAUACAUAGAGACAUGAUAGAGUGAUGAUUUGGGGGAUAAGAGACACAAGUCAACGUUUCAGUUAUAUAAAAUAAAUGAAUCUAGAGGACUAAAGUACAAUUUAAAGGUUAUAGUUACUAUUUUUAUAUUAUAUACUAGUGAUUUUUGAACAGGGUAAACUUUAGGUGCUUUGACACCAAAAGGAAACUACAUGAGUUCAUGUAUAUGUUAAAUUGUUUGACCGCAGUCAUCAUUGAUAUGUAUAUGUAUAUAUAUAUAAUUAUGGGCUCAUUAAAUUUAAAUGCUAUAAAUAGGUAACAAAGAAUAAAGUUAAUUGAAAAACUGCAUCAUUAGACUUGAUUUUGCCUACAUGAAAAACUGAAACUGCCUCCUAAAUAUUAAUAUUUGUACAUCGCAUAAAGUUUAUAUGUUGGAAAUAUGUUUAAAGAAAAGGAAUUAUAAAUUUUAAUAAACACAGAAUGACACAGUAAAUGCAAAACAGUAGAAAGAGAUGAAAAUCUGAUUAAUCAGAGUGGUUAAUGCUUAGAUAUAAUUAAUGAUGUGUUAGGAGCAAUUUCAAGCCACUUCCACAUAGAUUUAAUACCAAAGAGUUUAUGUGUACACAGAGAUUAAAUAAAAAAAUACAUUUACAAUGAUAUUAAUUGAUAUUAAAAUGAUUAUGAAAUCAACUGUCUGCUAUAGAAAAAAUAGAGCAUUAAGUAACUAGCAGUAAGUUUGAAACUUUGUUAGAAAGUUAAUCAAGUGAAAAAGUGAUCAGCAUUUUUGAGCACUAAAUAGAGGAUGGACAAAAUUUUCUUUUCUUUCUUUCUUUUUUUUUUUUUUUUGAGAUCGAGUCUGUCUCUGUCGCCCAGGCUGGAGUACAGCGGCGCAAUCUUGAUCUCGGCUCACUGCAAGCUCUGCCUCCCGGGUUCACGCCAUUCUCCUGCAUUAGCCUCCUGAGUACCUGGGACUGCAGGCGCCCACAGCCAUCCCUGGCUAAUUUUUUGUAUUUUUAGUGGAGACGGGGUUUCACCGUGUUAGUCAAGAUGGUCACGAUCUCCUGAGCUCAUGAUCCACCUGCCUCAGCCUCUUAAAGUGCUGGGAUUACAGGCGUGAGCCACCGCACCUGGCCUAUAAUUUUCCAAUACCAAGAAAAUCAUUUGAUAUUGCAAGAUUUUAAACCUAAAUUAGUGUCUUUAACUUCACAAAGGUAGAAAUCCUAUAAGUAAUGUUUCUUGAACACUUUAAAAUGACAAUAAAAACUAAAGUGUAACCAACAAGUAACAUGUAGCCACAUGCAAAUUUCCUUUUAGAUUGUUUUAUUAUUUUUUUAACUUUAUGUGAAUUUUUAUUUUACUAGGUUUUUGGGGAACAGGUGGUGUUUGGUUAGAGGGAUAAGUUUUUAGUGGUGAUCUCUGAGAUGUUGGUGCAGUGUACACUGUACCCAAUGGGUAGCCUUUGAUCCCUAAGAUUGUUUUAAAUGACAUCUAGAUUAAAUAGAACAUUCAAACUGACAUUACUUUUACAGCACCAGAGAAAUGCUAAGGAGGAAGCUUUGUGACUGAAACCAAAAGACCUGAAUUUAUAUAUUUAAUUUUACUAAUUAACAUUCUUAAUUUUAUAGAAAAACAGCAAUUCUGCCCACAUGCAGGAGUUAUGCAUUAAAGUGGAGCAUGAUCACUUCAGACAUUUGUCCAAAACAUAAAAAUUCUUCCAAGUAUUAAGAAAAUAUUUAUACUUCACAGAUAUUGUUAGUGUAUAAUACAUGGGCAUUGAGAUGUUUCAAAUGAGAAAAAUUGAAAUUUCUCAUGGGGCAUUGUUCUACACAAAAUAUUUAUGUAAAAUUUUUUACUCAUAUAUGCAUGUGGACAUUUGAUGUUUUAGCACAGAAUAACAUAUUCUCAAAGGUCAUUUAAUGUAGUAAAUUAAAAAUCUUUAAAGUUUACAAGAAUUUUAAAACUGCCCAGCAGAACUGAUAGAAAAAUAUGGGAGCUUCCCAGGACCAGAAGUGAAUCAAGAGGCAAAUUCACAGGAGUCAUGAAAGUGAGAAGUUAGAGCUGCCUUCAGGUACAGCUCUGAUUGCAGGGCUGAUUACACAGACCUCAAGCCUGUGAAAAUCGUCCACUCUGCCCCUUGGAAUAUACAUACAGAGAAAAUUACUAACUGGGGCAUCCCAAAUGUGAGAUCUCUAUAAUGUAAGAACCAAAUUGCAAUUAUGAAGCACACAAAAGAAGCUACCCAAAAAAGGGAAAGAAAUUAUACAUCACGUAAACUUCACAGAUUGGAAACGUAUUUAAAAUAAGUAACACAAAUAGGGAAAGAGAAUAUCAAAAUAAUUUUGAAAACACAUGAAGUUCUAAAGCGGGCACUGGGGGCAGUGGCUCAUGCCUGUACUCCCAAGCACUUUGCGGUGGCCAAAGCAGGAGGAUCACUUGAGGCCAGGAGUUUGAGAUCAGCCUGGGCAACAAAGCAAAAGUUGUCUCUACAACAAAUAGAUAUAAAAAAAUAAGCCAGGCACAGUGGUGUGUGCUUGUACUGUCAGCUACUGGGGAGGUGGAGGUGAGAGGGUCUUUUGAGACUGGGAAUUUGAGGUUGCAGUGAGCUAUGACCACCACUGAACUCAAGCCUGGGUGACAGAGAUUCUUUCUCAAACACACACACACACACACACACACACACACACACACACACACACACACACUAAACAGGCAUGUUUUGCAAAGACUCAAACAGAAAUUGAACAACUGAAACUUAAAUAAAUUUAAUAUACAGUGUAUGGUUUAAUUAUUAAACCAAGUUAAUAACAACAGGAUUAGUGAACUAGAAUACUGAGAUGAGUAAAUAAAAGAACUACAGAAAAAUGAAAUGAUCACAAUACAAAAAUGAGUAUACAUGUACAAAGAAUAAAAUGAAAUGAAAUCAAAUACAUUGGUUUCACUAGCUUACAUAUAAAUAACAAAUCACAUUAAUAACAAAUAUUUAUAAAUUUCUGAAACUGAAUAUCAGAUGGGAACCCUUGAAUGCAGAAGUGUAUUGUGAUUAAUAGUGGCCUACCAAUAAAAAAUACUCAACAGAAAUAAAAGUCAAACUGCAUAACAGCAAAGAAAAGAAAAAAUUUUAAAGCCAUAAGAGAGAAAAGAAGAGAGAACCAAUGAAGGUGAGAGCAAAGUCUUCACAGCCCGUGUUCAGUCAGAAAACAGAGAAAUAAGUAAGAGUGCUGAGAUAAGUCACUGUUCAACCAAUAAUUAGAUACUUCACUAACAUAUUUUGAAUAAGUGAGGAUGCACUACAUGAUUUCCAAAAGUAAAAAAGUGGGAAAUCUUAUUACCAAUAUGAGCUUAUUAAGAAUACACUUCAAAAAGAAAAAAAAUUUAAAAUGGAGUUCAAGGAAUCAAAAUGAAAUGCAAGAAACUGCAAACAUAUUGGGCUAUCAAAUCAUGGUGGACAAUGAACAAAAGGAUCCAUCAAGUCUUUGGCAGCAUCAGUUUCCAAAUGAUUUACAUAAAAUAAAAGUGCUAAACUCUAUACAAUGUAAUGAAAUAAAUUAUCAAAUCCUCUGAUACUUGAAUAAUUUAACUGAUGUUAGAAUCUCCUUUUCAGAUAAUUAUUUUCAUGGAAAAAAAUAUACAAUACUUCUGUCUCAUCAUUUGCAGAAUAUCAAUUAUCCUUUUUUCAGAACUUAUUAGCACCAAAGGGCUCACAGUGGCAUAGGCCCUGGUCACAAGCCUCUGGACACCCAG